UCAGCAGGGCUGCUGGUGUCUCACGACUACGAUAAGCGCGUGCCCAGGUACACCGCUCUGCUGUCAACAAAAAGAGCCCCCAGAGCCGAGCAAACAGACAGGCUUCAUUUUAAUUUAAGACACUUUUAUGUUGCUCGUUGAGUUUUAUUCCCUAUCUUAGACUUUUAAAAAAUAAUUUUCGCUCGAGCUGUUGUGUGGGUUACCUGUCCCGUUAGGUGUGGAUGAGACGCGCUGAGGAAACGUUACUCAAACUUUACCUGAACAACUAGAAGGCAAGAUAAGGGACUUUGGCUGUCACUGGGAUGAUAGUGAGGUGGUCUGGAGUCUGGAUUGAAGGAGCAUGGUGAAGCACCAACCUCUACAGGUCUAUGAGAGACAGUUGUGUUUGUCAUGUCUGACCGGGAUCUACGGUUGCCGCUGGAAACGCUACCAGCGGUCACAUGAUGACACCACCAAGUGGGAGUGUUUGUGGACCUUCAUACUGUUUGGCACUUUCUCCUUGUUAUUGGUCUGGUUUUAUUUCUGGUUGGAAGCCCACAAUGACUACAGCGAGUUUAACUGGUUUUUAUACAACCGUUCAGGGGAGUGGAGUGAUGGAACUGUUCCCAUACUUGCCACCACAGCAGCUGGCUUCACCUAUAUUGCAUUUUUAAUGAUUUUAGCUCUGUGUCAUGUAGCUGUCGGUCAGCAGUUAAAUUUGCACUGGCUCCACAAGAUUGGUGUGACGGUUGCUUUGCUCACAACAACAAUUGGCGUUAUAUCGGUCACUCAGAUGUGGGGAGAAGAAUGGGAUGUAGUUUGGAUUUCCCUUCAGGCCACAGGUCCGUUCUUGCACAUUGGUGCUUUAGCUGCGGUCACAGCUUUGGCCUGGCUGGUAGCUGGACAGGUGGCACGAGCAGAGAAAACCAGCUUCCAGGUGAUGGUUCUCCUCAUCUACCUGAGCGUUCUCCUCACACUCUACUUCAUUCCUCUGUCGAUCACCUCACCCUGCAUCAUGGACCGCGGGAGUCUCAAAUCAGCCCCCGCCAUCAUCGGCCAUCAAGGAGCUCCAAUGAUAGCACCGGAAAACACUCUCCUGUCCUUCAACAGAGCUCUACAGAGAAACGUAGGCGGCCUGGAGGCGGAUGUGGCCAUCAGUCUAGAUGGUGUGCCAUUCCUCAUGAGAGACCGGACGUUGAGAAGAACCACAGAUGUCGAAAAAGUGUUUCCAGAGAGACAGUACCAUGAUGCUUCACUUUUCAACUGGACUGACCUGCGCUCUCUGAACGCUGGCCAGUGGUUUAUUAAGGAUGAUCCUUUCUGGACCGUGAAGUACAUGUCAGUGUCUGAACGCUGGUUAGUGGGGAACCAGACAGUGUGCAGCCUCGAGGACAUGCUCAAACUAGCUGCUCGGUCCACAACCUCCGCCGUAUUCACACUGCGUAGACCGCCGCCUGGCCACCCCCACCACCUCGACUGGGUCAACCUCACCCUAGACACUGUCCUAAAGUCAGGAAUACCACAGCAGCAGGUGAUGUGGACUGUGGACAGUGACAGAGAGAUGGUAAGGCAGGUGGCUCCAGAUUUACAGCAGACCUCUUUGCAAAAGUUGCCCUUCAAUACACUUCAUCAUAAAGGCAUCAGUGGAGUCCUGCUGCGCUACAAUCAAGCAUCUGCCGAAGACAUCCGGCUAUAUAAUGAACAAAACAUCAGUGUUGUACUGUAUUCGGUGAAUGAGCCGUGGCUGUAUUCUCUGCUGUGGUGCAGCGGGGUGCCGACAGUCUCCUCUGAAGCGCCGCAGGUGUUGGGGAAGCUGCACUCUCCACUUUGGCUCAUGACUCCAGAUGAGUACUGUUUGAUAUGGAUCUUCACUGAUCUCAUCUCCUUUGCUGUAGUUUUGGGAAUAUUUGUAUUCCAAAACUAUCACUUGAUCAGGUGGAGAAUGAGUGGCAUGCGUAGCUACAACCCAGAGCAGAUCAUGCUGAGCGCAGCCGUCAGAAGAUCCAGCAGAGAUGUCAACAUCAUGAAGGAGAAGCUCAUCUUCUCUGGUAAGAGCCUUCGUGCUGGUUUUUAUUUAAUACCGUGUGUAGUUUGUGCAUGUGUCCCAAAUGUAUUUGCAUGCCUGUGUGUUUUUUCUUUUUAAACCUCAUUUUUAAGGUCAGCCACAGUAGCUGUCUAUUCCCCGGGUUUGAGUCUUCUACUGUCACCCCAUCUAUGGUCGCAUCCUUCCAUCCCGUUCAAUCUCAUCCCUCCCUUCUCCCUCCUGUUUGUCACUGUCUGCCACCAUCCCAUCUCUUUCUGCAUCCAUCAAUCCAUAUUCAGCUGACAUCCCUCCACUUUGACGGCUCAUGCAGAGUUGUAACAUCAAUGACUUGGUAACUGGGGUCUGCAUGUGAGGUGAGCAAUGGAGUCAACACAGAUGAACCGUAUAUGGAUAAUGGAUUUAACUUCUAAACCAAUGAAGUCGAUUGGUUGUUUGACCGAUGGACCAAAAGACACAGGACACAUUGAUCUGAGAGUUAUGAUUUUUCUGAAAAUUAUAUUGCGUCCUGAAUCAGUUUGUUUUGGCAUCUCUUCUGAACUACUAAAUCGACUCCUAGUCACCCGUUUAUGACGGACCCCUGUACAGAAAGUUUUUUUGUUUCUUCUGCUGUUUAGUUGCUUGUUCUUUACUUCUGCACCCAAACAGAAGUGUUCAGUUUUAAAGUUCAAAGUGCAGUUCGACUGUUGUUGACUUUUACCAAAUUUGUGGCCUCUGUCCCCACUAAAUGCUUGAGUAAAUGCUCAUUACUUGCUUCGUAUUGAAAGCAUGCCUGUAACAUAGGGGUUUUAUUUGUCGUUUUUUGGGGAUUUUAUUUUAUUUUAAUCUUCCAUAGACAGCUGGUGUUUAAUAUAACAUAUGUCAAUUUUUAGUUUAGUUUUUUUUAUUUUGUGUGAUAUUCACAGUCUGAUGAUGCCUUCUGUUCAAACUGGUGUGAAUUUAACGAAUGAGGAAACAGGUGUUUACACCGUGCCUGCCUUUAUCCUUUCAGUGGUGUUAACUUAGUUAGCAAAGCUAACAUUUUGCAUGUGGUUCAGCGGUAUCACUUUUGGAGGCGAUCACACAGCCUUACAGUGUAGGUCUUUGAUAUGCCAUUUUAAACAGUAUGGAAAAUGGUGGCACAUAUUUUGAUUUCUUAUAUCUGUGGUUUAUUAACGAUUGAUAACUUGAUAUUAGCGACACAUUCGGGUGACAUUGGGAAAAUGAAAACUUUAGUAGCUAAACACUGUUUAUAAGGAAUUUUAAUGCAGUGCAAUAUUACAUUUUAAAUAACACUGUUCAAGAUUUAAUGAGUCUGAAUAUUAUUCAGUAAUUUUUUAAGUUGUCAUUUUAUUUUUUCCUCCUAAGCCUUUUGUUUAUUAAAUGGCAUUUAAUGUAUUAAGUACCUUGUACAGGGCUUCCCACGAGAUCAUGACCCCUCCAUUCAUAUUGUAAAUGUAAGACGUGACAUUGUUUACAGUGGAUUGUGGCGUCAGAGGACAGAGGUUAAAUGAUAAGUUUUUUGUAUUGAUGUGUUUCAGGGGUUAAUCAAUAAAACUGCUGGUUUUACA